AUUGAACGCUGGCGGCAGGCUUAACACAUGCAAGUCGAGCGAGUGGCGGACGGGUGAGUAAAGUCUGGGAAACUGCCCGAUGGAGGGGGAUAACUACUGGAAACGGUAGCUAAUACCGCAUACCAUCCGAUCUGCCCAGAUGGGAUUCGCUAGUAGGUGGGGUAAAGGCUCACCUAGGCUACUAUCCCUAGCUGGUCUGAGAGGGUGACCAGUCACACUGGAACUUAGACACGGUCCAUACUCCUACGGUAGGCAGCAGUAGGGAAUCUUCCGCAAUGGGCGCAAGCCUGAUGGAGCAACGCCGCGUGUGUGACGAAGGUCUUCGGAUCGUAAAACACUAUUAGCAAGGAAGCGGUACUUACAGAGAAAGCACCGGCUAACUACGUGUCAGCAGCCGCGGUAAUAC
rnacentral:rRNA from 1 species